GCGGGGUGGUGGAAGGAUUGGCGUCUUCAACCCUACACUCCCCCAAAAAUGGAGGUCCGGAUGUUGAGUUGUGCUUAGUCACUCUGCGUAGGACGUUUGCAUUGUGGAACUUCUCGCUUUUCAAAGGCGCUGGAGAGGAACUGCGCGCUGGAGAAUAUCUUCCCUUCUGGUGAUGCUCAGGUCGAGGGUGAGGCACCUCAGAAGAAAGGUCGCAAACUUAAAAACCCUAUGGAGCACAGUUCUACUCUGCAACACGUGGGGUCACUUAAAAUCUGCGAAAGUCAGAACAUAUGUAAGGUGGAAGCCUGUCGGAGAAGAAAACUCAAAUACUUUCUACUAAAAUGAGGGAUAGAGAAAAGGUAAGACCGCACACUGUCAAAGGGAGAAAACUUGCAAGACCCAGAAAAACAAGGUAGUUCCAUCAAGUGCCAGCUUUCACAGGUUUCACUGUAUUUUAAAUUUAUUGAAGUUUGUUUUUAUAGUUUAGCAUAUGGUCAAUCUUAGAGAAUUUUCUCUAUGCACUUGAGAAAAAUAGGUUUUCUGUGGUUGUCAGGUGGAGUGUUUUUAGGGUGUCUGUUUGAUCUAGUGAUUUAUAGUGUUUCCAAGUAUUUUAUUUCCUUGUUUAUCUGCCUAGUUGUUCUAGCCGUUAUUGAAAAUGGGCUACUGAAAUCUCUGUUUUUUAUAAUUGUCUAUUUGUCCCUUCAAUUCUGUAAGGUUUUGCUUCAUAUAUUUUGAAAUUCUGUUGUUAGGUGCAUUUAAGUUAAUAAUUAAUUGUUAGAUCUUCUGAUGGAUUGACAAUUCUAUCAUCAUAAAAUGUCCCUCUUUACUGACAGUAACAUUUUUUAUUUAAAGUUUAUUUGAUCUGAUGUUAGCACAGCCACUCCAGUUUUCUUUUACAUUAUGUUUUCUUUUAAGUGUUUGAAAAAAUUGAAAAUUUCUGCUUUUCUGUCUUUGUCUAUUCAUUUCAACAUCUGAGUCACCUUGAUUUUCUUAUCCAUUCUUUUUUUUCCUCUGUAAAGAGCACAUUUCUGUUUCUCUGCAUGCCUAAUAAUUUUUUUUAUUAUUUUAUGCUAGAUAUAAUGUUUCUUAUAUUUUCAGUAGUCUAGAUUUAUUGCUAUCUAUUUUUUUUAUUUAUCUAUCUAUAUUUAUUUAUUUUUAGAAUGCUGCAUUUUGUUGGCAAACCAUUAAUUGACUGGUGGAUUACCAUGUUCCUUUUAAAGUGUAUUUUUAUGUUCUGUUAGGCAAAUCUAGGGCAACCUUACUCCUGAGAUAUGGCUUUCAGUGGUCUUCAGAAAAGUGCCUCUUUUUUGGCUGAUCAGAACUAUGUUUGUCAGCAUCAUGCAGCCUCCAAAAUCUCUGUUCAGCUCCUUGUUCCCAGCAGCUCUUCUCUUCCAAGUCUUCCCUGUGCACGCUCAGGUUAGUAUUCUGCCAAAAACUCAAGGACACCCUGUAAAGAUCUUUGUAACUCCUUCUUAUGCAUCCCCUUCUCUCUAGUAUCCUGCCCCUCGAACUCCAGCUCCCCCUGCAGUCACAAAAUCUGAUUUCUGCCUCAUUAACUCAGAAAGACCACAGUGUUCUUCUUGGGCUCCAACUGAAUGCUCUGAUCCAGAAGUGCUGUUAGGCAGAGGCCCUGGCCAAUCGUGGGGCUAAUCUCAUCUCUUUCCCCUGUCAUGGAAAUCACAGUCCUGUGGUGCCUAUUACUCAUUCUGAAAACAGUUGCAUAUAUUUUGUCCAGUUUUAUUGUUGUUCAUAGUGGGAAGAAGAUUACGUUACCAAUUGCUCUGUCAAGACCGAGAGCAGAUU